CACUGUGCGCGAGAGGCAGAAGCGGAGUUGAUGGGGGAGCAGCAGCGGUUGACUCGCCGCUGUCCUCAAGGCCAGGAUGUUAAAGUACUUACUGGAGGCAAGAAGAAGAAAGAUGGCUGGAAUUAAGUAUGGACGAAUUUUGAUGAACAGUGAUAAAGCUCGCUCUGUUGGACACCACACCAGUGAUGUUUGAAGGUCACAGGUUUACAAUGAUAAGUGAAGAAUGAAUAAGAAGAUUGCCAACAUCAAAAUCUCCAGUGGCAACUUACAUCAGCUGCACUUCGGAAAAAACUCUCCACAGUUCAGGAAGAGAUGUUUCAUUGGCGAGUGAGGCGCAGUCCAGCGGAAUGAGUCGUUGACUGGGAAUUAGAACCAUCUUUUUUCUAGUCCCGAGUCAGACACUAACUGUUACUAGACUCUGUGGGUUUAGAGAUGUCCACCAGUCACUGUUCCCAAAACUGUAAAAUGGGGCUUGUGAGGCUGAAAUAGACAACAGGCCUGAUCCUGAGCCCAUUGAAGUCAGAACAAAGAUCCAGAUCCCAUUGACUUUUCUGGAUCCAGGAGCAGAUCCUCUGUUCAUAAAAUAUUCUACACAUGCUAAUUAUUUAUAGGUUCAUGGAUUCUAAGGCCAGAAGAGACCACUGAUCAUCUAGGCUGACCUGCAGAACAUAGGCCAGAGAAAUGCCCAAAACUAAUCACUAGAGCAGAUCUUUUAGAGAAACAUCCAAUCUUGAUUUUAAAAUGGUCAGUGAUGGAGAAUCCCUGGCGACCCUGGUUCCAGUGUUUAAUGACGUCACCCUUAAAAGUUUAGUCCUGAUUCUCAGUCUGAAUUUGACCAGCAAUUAUUAUUAUUGUUACUAGUUCUGAAAUGGUGGGGAGCAGAAUCUAAUAUUGCCUUCCAGGAGUGGCAGAAGUUCCCUAUAAGUGGGCGGGGGGCCACCAGCACCCAAACCAUGGACUUACCCCUCCCCGGGAGGCCCCACUCCUGCACUCGUCUUCCCCCCAAGGCUCUACCCCUACACCUCCUCUUCCCCCCCCCAGACUGCCACCCCCCACUCACUCUCCUCCACCCCCUAUGCCGUUGUUUGCCCCUACAGCCAAUAAAAAGUGAUUGGCCCACAGCCCCCUGGCACCUCCCCGUUCCAGUACCCCGUCUCCUGCGAUUUAUUCCUAGGCCAAGCAUUCAAAUCUUUGACACUACAGGCUCAGACCCCAUCUGAGACCCCAGCCCUUCACCCUUCUGAGGCUCAUGCAUUGAGUACCAUACAGCUUGCUGGGUUUGGCUCUUUCAGAUGGUCCUUAAAAACCAAGGUCCCGACUGCUUUGUGUGGGCAUUACAAAUACCAUGGCACAAUGGUUUUAGUGAGACUUUGCUCUGCAU